rnacentral:sRNA from 1 species
UAAAUAACAUGGAGAUGUAAUUUUGUUAUGACGAUACAAUCACAUCAAUCGCCAUCUUCAUUCUUCAUCUGAUUCAAAACUUUAACUCUCGGUCGAUCC